UACGAAGGGUGCAAGCGUUACUCGGAAUUACUGGGCGUAAAGCGUGCGUAGGUGGUUCGUUAAGUCUGAUGUGAAAGCCCUGGGCUCAACCUGGGAAUGGCAUUGGAAACUGGCGACCUAGAGUGCGGUAGAGGGUAGUGGAAUUCCCGGUGUAGCAGUGAAAUGCGUAGAGAUCGGGAGGAACAUCCGUGGCGAAGGCGGCUAUCUGGACGGUUUCUGACGCUAAGACGCGAAAGCGUGGGGAGCAAACAGG
rnacentral:rRNA from 1 species